rnacentral:rRNA from 1 species
AUACGUAGGGGGCGAGCGUUGUCCGGAAUGAUUGGGCGUAAAGGGCGCGUAGGCGGCUUUGCAAGUCAGUAGUGGAAGUCCAUUUUUCAAGGAUGGAAGUGCUACAGAAACUGCGGAGCUUGAGUGCAGGAGAGGUUAUCGGAAUUCCCGGUGUAGCGGUGAAAUGCGUAGAGAUCGGGAGGAACACCAGUGGCGAAGGCGGGUGACUGGACUGCAACUGACGCUGAGGCGCGAAAGUGUGGGGAGCAAACAGGAUUAGAUACCCUGGUAGUCCACACUGUAAACGAUGAAUGCUAGGUGUAGGUGGUAUCGACCCCAUCUGUGCCGCAGUCAACACAGUAAGCAUUCCGCCUGGGGAGUACGGUCGCAAGAUUAAAACUCAAAUGAAUUGACGGGG